ACUGGACACGGUGGCCCAUGCCUGUAAUCCCAGUGACUUGGAGGCUGAGGCAGGAGGAUUGCAAGUUCAAAGCCAGCCUCAGCAACUUAGUGAGCCCUAAGCAAGUCCGUGAGACCCUGUCUCAC
rnacentral:sRNA from 1 species